AUUGAACGCUGGCGGCAUGCCUUACACAUGCAAGUCGAACGGCAGCACGGAGCUUGCUCUGGUGGCGAGUGGCGAACGGGUGAGUAAUAUAUCGGAACGUACCCAAGAGUGGGGGAUAACGUAGCGAAAGUUACGCUAAUACCGCAUACGAUCUAAGGAUGAAAGCAGGGGACCUUCGGGCCUUGUGCUCCUGGAGCGGCCGAUAUCUGAUUAGCUAGUUGGUGAGGUAAAGGCUCACCAAGGCAUCGAUCAGUAGCUGGUCUGAGAGGACGACCAGCCACACUGGAACUGAGACACGGUCCAGACUCCUACGGGAGGCAGCAGUGGGGAAUUUUGGACAAUGGGGGCAACCCUGAUCCAGCAAUGCCGCGUGAGUGAAGAAGGCCUUCGGGUUGUAAAGCUCUUUUGUCAGGGAAGAAACGGUGAAGGCUAAUAUCCUUUGCUAAUGACGGUACCUGAAGAAUAAGCACCGGCUAACUACGUGCCAGCCGCCGCGGUAAUAC
rnacentral:rRNA from 1 species